AUUUAUGGAAAAUGUCUUACCGAAUUGGAAGCCGUAAGUCAUUUUCCCUUCUCUUUUCCCUUCCUCUCUGUCCAUCAUCUCUGUCCAUUGUUCUUUCUCUUCGUUGGCCUCACUAUCAUCAGCAACCACAGUCGAGAAAAGAAGAUCCAGAAGGUUACCUUCUCUUCAUUGAAGAUUUUUGAAGUGCUUGUACUGAAAUUGUUCGUAUUGAACUGCGAUUGUAAGUGUUAGCUAAGUGGCCUAAUAAAUCAAGGGGGAAAAUGAAAAAGAAGAUUCUAAACCUUUGAUUCAAAUCUGGGUUCUUCAUGUUGUUUGGUGGUUUUCUAGAACUGGGUUCUCUUCACUGGGGGCUUGCUACAACUUUCCAGGGAGAAUUGGGUGUUCAAAUCUAAGAUAAAAUGGGUUGCAUUAUUUGUAUUGACUCUAUCUUUGGCAUCGUUGGUUGCUCAUCUUUCAAUGACAGUUUUCAAGUAUGAAUUUAGUCCAGUAUAGUGGAAAAUAGGCUUUAAGCCAUGAUUUUCCUAAUACUGGAUCACCAGUAAGUUAUCUAUAUUUUCGGAUUUGAGGAACAAAUGCUUUUUCUUCAUCUGUUUGCUUGUAUAAUUUGUUCAUUUGAUGCUGUUUAUUUGUUCCUAAGUUGAAGACUAGAAGAAAUAAAAGGCUAUGGGGUGCUGUGAGGUCUCUGGAAUCUUUGCAACCACAUGCAAACCCCAGAAGUAGCUAUCCUGGCAAAGGGUUUUGCUCAAACUACUUAAUUAUGUAGUUAUGCUUUUAUACUGCCAAAAAACCUAAUGCUGCUUUAGCUAAUGCCCUUUAUCAAAAAGGUCCGGUUUUGUUAUCUGUUGAACUGGUUAAUGAUAUUAGGAAUUCAGGCCUUAGUUUCACUGAAGAUUUGAUUUGUGUUUUGAUUGGUAGUUGGGGAAGAUUAGGAUUAGCUAAGUAUUGUGCUGAGAUAUUUGGCCAGAUUUCAUUUUUGGGUAUUAAUCCUAGCACUAGAUUGUAUAAUGCUGUGAUUGAUGCGUUAAUAAAAUCCAAUUCACUUGAUUUAGCCUA